ACCGGAAAGGACCAGACCCGGCGGGACCGGACCGCGGUUUGGGUCCAAGCCCGGCGGUGUUUGCGGCGGGCCCGGGGCCUGGAAGCGCUGGGGCGGAGCCGAGAGUGAGUAAAAAGUUCUGAAACAGCCUCAGUUCCAAAAAAACGAGUCACCUUGUUGCGGCAUGAAAUUUUGCCCCUAACUCACGCGCCCCGGGGUGGACCGGGAGCAGCGGGCCCUUCCUCUUCCAGGCUCCCUGGGCCCGGUCUUUGAUGACUCAGAGCUCCUGCGGUCACCGAGCCGCUCUGGAGACUCAUCGGAGCAGCUCCCCGAUCCCAUCAGCUCUUUUCUGCAGUUACAUCCUCAGUUAAUUUCCAAAGUUGUCCCCUUUCAAAAUACGAUCUUAGGGCGGGACGAUAUGUACGCAUCUUCCCGUGGCCAGCAGCAGUGAUGGCAACGCUGUAGGCACCUCCUUCCCUUAGGAAAAAGCCAAACAUUUCACGAAGUCCUUCUGUGCUUUUAGAUGAAACUGGAAAAUGGCCUUCAUUGGAAAAGUCCCAGUCCUCGGGGAGCAGAUCCCCCAUCUCUGGCAGUGCAGUGCGCCUGGGCGCUGUCUGGAACAUUCCGCAAAAAUUAAUGAAGAUAGCAGGCGUGAUGAAAUCCGAGCACUGUGGCAAUCCGCCCAUGAAGACGAGCCGCGCUGCCCGAAAUUUCCCUCCCCACUGGCAGUCACUCCUCUGCCCUGCAUUGGCCUUGACCACAUGACCCAGAGGCACAGGGAGAAGCCUCUCCUGGAUGCUUGGUGAGUUGACUUCAGCGGCUGAGAGUGUCUAAGGAGAGCCGGGAGCACCACACGUGUCCUGCAGAUGGUGGGGCAGAUUUGGUGAAAUAGGAAGCUCCAUGGCUCUUAGCCAUCUUUCAGGGUGACUGAGAGAUUGGUUUUCAUAGAAGCCUCGGUGGCCUGGUCCGUGCAGGAGUGCCUGAAGGGGAUCUCCUGUGGCGCUGCCUGGUCCAGGGAGGUCACAGAGUGCUCCUCCACCCGGAGCACAAGGGGUCCCACCAAGGACAAGGACAAGGACAAGAUUCAGCACCGUCGCACGCAGAACAGCUACAUGGAGCCACAGGUCACUUUCCCAAAAGGGAGUUUCCAGGCCAGAAGCCAUCCCUGCAGCAUUGUCUCCGUGCUCCAAGAGAAGCCCUGGCACACACUUCUGCUCAGAUGGAACCACUGUACCCUCAGCGUCCUUGUCAGUACCAGCCGGUGACUUUCCUACCCAAACCCUUCCCUCACUCUCUGCCUCAUUUUCUCAAGGUGUCGUGUUUGUCUGAAAGGACAUUUGCGGC
rnacentral:lncRNA from 1 species